rnacentral:miRNA from 1 species
UGCCUCGCGCGCAAACCGGAGC